GUAGGGAAUCUUCGGCAAUGGACGAAAGUCUGACCGAGCAACGCCGCGUGAGUGAAGAAGGUUUUCGGAUCGUAAAACUCUGUUGGUAGAGAAGAACGUUGGUGAGAGUGGAAAGCUCAUCAAGUGACGGUAACUACCCAGAAAGGGACGGCUAACUACGUGCCAGCAGCCGCGGUAAUACGUAGGUCCCAAGCGUUGUCCGGAUUUAUUGGGCGUAAAGCGAGCGCAGGUGGUUUAUUAAGUCUGGUGUAAAAGGCAGUGGCUCAACCAUUGUAUGCAUUGGAAACUGGUAGACUUGAGUGCAGGAGAGGAGAGUGGAAUUCCAUGUGUAGCGGUGAAAUGCGCAGAUAUAUGGAGGAACACUGGUGGCGAAAGCGGCUCUCUGGCCUGUAACUGACACUGAGGCUCGAAAGCGUGGGGAGCAAACAGGAUUAGAAACCCGGGUAGUCC
rnacentral:rRNA from 1 species